rnacentral:rRNA from 1 species
CCCUUAGAUGUUCUGGGCCGCACGCGCGCUACACUGAUGCAUGCAACGAGUUCUAUCCUUGGCCGGAAGGCUUGGGUAAUCUGUGAACGUGCAUCGUGAUAGGGAUAGAUUAUUGCAAUUAUUAAUCUUGAACGAGGAAUUCCUAGUAAACGCAAGUCAUCAGCUUGCAUUGAUUACGUCCCUGCCCUUUGUACACACCGCCCGUCGCACCUACCGAUCGAAGGUAAUGAUGAGCCCUCAGGAUUGUGGCCUCGUCGCGUCAGCGUCUUGGCUGCGAGAAUCUGUGCAAAUCCCUACCUUUAGAGGAAGGUGAAGUCGUAACA